AUAUAAUUCAAAAGUAAACACACAAAAAAAAGGAUAAAUAAAAGAACAAGUAGUGCGUAUGUCGCUGGUUUCAUCACUCGUGUGAUGAUCUUGUUGUUGAUUUUUACAGAAUAUCAAUUGGAGACCUAUGUGCCAAGAGAGAUACAACCAGAGUACCGCCUGGAACUUGUAAUAAACCUAAUGGCGCUUCAUUAUGUCAGCGAGGUUGCUUUGACGGAGGGAUUCAACCUGAUUUGUAUGGCACAUGUCUAACUACGCCAAAAGGAAAAGUUUGCACAUGUCACAACUGCGUACUUCCAUAAUCAAAAAGAUUUUAUCUGUGCACAUUUUAUAUUCGUUUACUGUAAAAUAAUUAUAUGUUUUAAAUUAUUUCAAUCACAAUUAAAGUAAAUAAAUGAUUGAUUUUGGACAAUAUUCCAAAUA